rnacentral:rRNA from 1 species
ACUCCUGCGGGAGGCAGCAGUGGGGAAUUUUGGACAAUGGGCGAAAGCCUGAUCCAGCAAUGCCGCGUGAGUGAAGAAGGCCUUCGGGUUGUAAAGCUCUUUUGUCAGGGAAGAAACGGUGAAAGCUAAUAUCUUUUGCUAAUGACGGUACCUGAAGAAUAAGCACCGGCUAACUACGUGCCAGCAGCCGCGGUAAUACGUAGGGUGCAAGCGUUAAUCGGAAUUACUGGGCGUAAAGCGUGCGCAGGCGGUUUUGUAAGUCUGAUGUGAAAUCCCCGGGCUCAACCUGGGAAUUGCAUUGGAGACUGCAAGGCUAGAAUCUGGCAGAGGGGGGUAGAAUUCCACGUGUAGCAGUGAAAUGCGUAGAUAUGUGGAGGAACACCGAUGGCGAAGGCAGCCCCCUGGGUCAAGAUUGACGCUCAUGCACGAAAGCGUGGGGAGCAAACAGGAUUAGAUACCCUGGUAGUCCCAUGAU